GGAUUAAUUUAGGUUCCCUGAUCCAGGAUGCCAGGACAAGGAAAAAUUUAGGUGGCUUUUACAUCCAGGAGAUGCAGUGCCCAGAAGAAAGCAGACAUCCAGGAGAUAUCUGGAUUUGUGGGAACUCGGUAGUGCAUUAAGCCAACAAGAAGACAGCCAGAUACGCAGGUCCCAGAAUGCAGCAGAGACCUGCUCAACCAGGGCAUCAGAAGAGACUGAUCAAAAAAAUAUUGUUUGUGCAUGUCAUAUAGCUGCCCGCUUUGAGCUCUGAAUGAACCGACUCCUACUCCUUCUGUUAAUUUCAAUGAAUCCAAGAGCUGGAUCCCAAGGCCCUUCCGGCUCCACAGGGGUAGCAGCUGACACAAGGAGCCUGGGUGUGAGAACCACCUUACUACAGGGGAAGAGAAAGAGAGUCUGAGAUGGGCUCCUGGGAGACCUGCUCAAUAAAACAAAUCAGCAGAUCCAGAUCGCCCCGCUGAACUACCAACAGGAUAAGGAUGCUUUCAGGAUGGAAAGAGAGACAGGGGCAGAAUGGCAUGAGGAGAGAUUGGCAGACAUAUUCCUAGAGCAUGAUCACUGGUUGAGAAAGGCAGAUAGACCGCAGUAGAAAGAGCUGUUUGAGCACUUACUGAAGGUGAUGGCCACCACACUGCAGGCUCUGGUGCAUCCUUCAGCCUCUGCUUCUGACCCAUGGUGACAAUCCGCACACCACUUCUGAGUCCUGGAGAGCAUCCAUCCUUUGUACAAUUCAAGGAGUAGCUGGGCAAACACUGGUACAUAGAAUGGAUAAAUGUACUAUGUGCAUUCAUCCACUCCUGUCCAGGCACAGCCCAUACAUGAAAAACAUGUCAGAAAGGCCAAAGAGAACCUGGACCUUUGACAGUUUUUUGAACCAAGUUUGGUUACACUAUUGUGCUGCACGGCAUGAUGGCAGCUGGUCUGCAUCACUGAUUGUUACAGCAUGUAAAUACCUAUGUAAAAUAAAACGUCGGAUU